GAUGAAAACUAAUACACCAAUCAAAUGUAAUGUUUAUAAAAGCGUAUGAUCCAUACAAUAUCUGCAUGUGUAUGUGUCUGAUAAACAGUAUCCAAUUUCAUGCAAUUUUCUUCUGCGGUAAUGUGUAUUAGUAUGGCUAAUGGGUAUUACAAUCAUUUAUUUAUAAAAGUCCUAAUUUUAAUAAGACGGUUAUGACAAAAAAAUUAAAAAGAUUUGUACUGUAUAUUAACCAUCUUGUGAAGUUAUGAUUUUGAAUUUCGGAUAAUAAGUAGAUUGACAAUAUUGAGUACGUAUAAUGUAUAUACGGAAAAUCUAUUGUAUAUGAGCUAUUUUAUAUGAACUAUGAAUACUUAUCCCUUGUUCAAUUAUAAUAUAUUUGAAAGUUAUUAGCAAGUUAUAUUUUUACAAUAAAGCAAAGUGCAGAUGAGUAUUGAAAUGGAGGUCAUUUAUAAUUUUGAAUAUUGCCUUAUGAAUCUAUUCAUUGAUGGAACUUCAUGUAGUGUGGCUGUAUUUAUUUACAAAUAAUAUAUAUUAUAUGCAACAUACAUUAUUAUCACUUAUAAAUCGAAAUAUUUCAUUGUUUUACAAUCCGUGUUGAAGUUCUGGAGUACUAUUUCUAAAUUACAUUUUUUACAAAUAACUAAUUAUCUUAUUUACUUUACUAAGUAAUUAACUACUACAUGCGUCACAUAUUUAAUUUACGCUAAAGGUGUGUCUACAAUGCAUAUUUUUUCAAAUAUUUAAAGAAUCUCUCAUCACACGAACUAUAUCGUAAUUCAAGUAAUAUUGAAAAAUAUUAUACAUAUUGUAUUAAACGUUGUGUCGACACGGUGAUAUUAUUUUAUAAAUACGACGACAAACUGUAGGACGAUAAUUUUGUUGUACGACGUGUAAGCCAAGCCCGUAUUGUAUUUUUAUAACAACUUGCGUUAUUAUAUUUUUAUAUAAAAUCGUAUAACGGUCCAUAGAAUAGAUUUCUUUGCUUUAUGGCAUUCAACACAAUACAAAAAUAUUACUAUACGUUUUCCGCGCAAUUUGAAAUAAUAAUAAUUACUCUAAUUAAUGCGCUCCCGCCGGCCAACUAUUUUUUAUUUUUUUUUAAAAAGUCACACAAAAUUUAAUAGUGAUAUUAUACAUUAAACGAGUACGUCUCCGUUGUAUAGUGACUACAUUGCGUUAGGGCCCAUACCGUAGGUAUUUUUACACCUUUGAAAUUAUUACGGGUUUACGAUCUACAAUGCAAUAUUAUAAUAACACAAUGCUUUAAUUUCUUAUAGGAAAUCCAUUGUUGAUUUUAAUAAUAAUUUUCCUAUCCUGGAACACACUCCGCACCCUCCUGUAAACGCAUACCGUAUAAAUCACAAAACGUUUCGGGCAUGAACUCGGCCCAGUGUAAUAAUAAUAUUGAAUAAUUUUGUUUGUAAAAUGUUAUCAUAUUAUUAUAAUAGUAUAAUACAACGAAAGAGAAACUGACAUUUUUUUCUUCAAGGAGCACUGCAUAGGCAAUUUGUCUUGUUAGACGUUGAAUAUAAUAUUAUUAUGUAAAUGACUGUUGGCUCGUGUAAGCCGUUUAUCAUGAUGUUCAAAAAUAUUCGUUCGCAUUUAGGUAAAUAUAUGUUAUUAUUUUUCCCAUGUCAGUGAAAUUAUAAUACUUUUUAAUCCUAUAUAAUAAUAAUAUUAUGUAUAACGAUAUAAAAAAAAUACGCCAUUUUGCUUACUAUACACUCAACAAGCACAGGGCUGAAAAUAUUUUUCCAGGGACUCCUCCUUACCAAUUUAUUCCUAAAUACAAUAUUAUUAUUGUUAUUAAUUGUUUGACAGUCAAAUGUUAAAUGUAAUAAUUGUUCAAAAAUAAUAAUAUUUAAAAGAUCAGAAAUUUCGACAAUUCCAUGCUGUUGAAGAACAACGGUGGUUUUGACAAAUAUUUGAAUCUAUAGAGGAAUAAUAUUGUUAACGGUAUUUAGGUUAUUUUGUUGCUGUAUGUUUUAUGCCUCAUACACGACUGAAAUAUGUCUAAAACAUGUCUAAGACCUGAAUUUCUUGGAAUUCUUAUCAUCACAUACCAACAAAUAGCAUAGAUGAGUCUCAGUUUAUCCAAAUCUGGGCGAGAUAUCGUCGAGGACUUGUAUUCUUACUAUAUUAUUGCUCAGUAUUUUUGGCCGUUUACUAUGCCGUUAUUCACAAUAAUUACAAUAAUUGUUAUAAUUAUUAUAAGUCAACUAGAAUAGUAGUAAAACAAUUUAAAGAAACAACUAGAUAGGUAAUAACAAUAUUUUCUAAGGAAUUUUCGGUUAUAGAUUUGCUAUUUGCAUUUUUGUUUUUUUUCGGAGUGGACCAUCUUAAAAAAAAAAACCCGAUUUCCGUGAAAAUGAAACGCUCUAAUGUCAAAGCAUACUUUUCCUCUGAAGUUAAAAAGUUAGUACAUAUACAUAGAGAGUAUAAUGGACUGACCCCGACGAAUGCCAGUUGUUAUACAUUUGAAAGGAAUGAUAAAUCAUCGGAUUUUGAAAAAUGAAUCUUAGCGCUGAGUUCGGUGGCAUAUAAAUCGAAAAACGUGGUUUCAACUCAAGCUAUGGGGCGUAAUGCAAUGUGUUUUAGUGUAGGUUUUCACGAAACGAGAAUUGUAUAUAAGUACCUAACUAAAAAAAAAAUUAUAUUUCACAUUUUUAUAAAAUAAUAUGCGAAUGUCUCAAAAAAGUUUUUUUAUGAGAUAUACAUAUUAUGAUUUAAGUAGAAAUCCGUUCGAUUAAUAUUUAAUACUAAAUAGUACAUUAAGUCUUCACGAAUACGCGUAAACAAAAUAUUAUCAAUACCUACCCAUUGUCUCAAUACAAUUAAAAAGUUGCCUAUAUAUUGUGGCGCGGUGGUCGACUUCAAUCACAAACGUGUUCUGAAGUCAAACAUCAGCCGGUGUCACUAGUUGCCGGAUGGGUGACCACUCAGGUUGUAGAGACAAAUCCUCACCACAUAUACACGUGCUCUAACCUUACCCUCCCUUAUAGUUAAAUAGCUACAAAAUAACCUUCAGGCUAAUGAUCAUAGAUGUCAAAGCCUUAACUAAAUUUAAAAAAAAAAAUAAAUAAAAAAUAAGGCUAUGACAGUGAAUUUGAUUAAUUCGUAUAAUAUGAUAUUUAAAAAAAAAAUUAGAAUGACAUAAUAUUAUAUAUAUUUGUUAUUAUUGUUUAUUGCGUCUUCAUUAGCUUCUCGCCGAAAAUAUUUCCUAGACGCUCAAUCGACUGCUGACCGAUCGUAACAUUAUAAUAUUGUUGUGCGUGACAAAAAUUAAAGUCGAAAACGAAUAUUUGGUGUCUCGGUGUACAACAGUUCUCGACAGGAUGAUUGUCAGAAAGUAAUAAAAUGCGGUGCGAACAGGGUUAAGCAAUUUUCUGGGAAAUUCUUGGGGUGGCUUAAAGUGCCGCACUGCAGCUCGUGUCAAAUGUCCUGAGGUAUAAAAUAUGAAUGGGCCACGCGCAACUUUGAAGAACCCUAAAAUGCCAACGGCAUCGGUUGGCGUCUAAGAAAUGCACAUCGUCUAACUCGUCCCGCCUCCCGCUCGGAAUCCAAAAAUAAAAUAACUAUUUUCGAGUCAUAAGUUAUUCACGAUUUGUAUAAAUAUAAUAUCGUCCGACGUCAGUUUGUGCUCGCACCGACGUCGACGUACUCGUCGUUUAAAUUUUACCUGUUAAUAAUAUUAUGUCACACAGCAGAUUGCAAUUUCCCGACAACUACAGAUUCGACGCGGCGGAUUGUCGGUCGGAUGGACACACACGCGGUGGAGAUCCGGACGAAGAUGACGUCCACAACCUGAUAGUUUAAAUAUUUAUUUUUAAUUUACACAAUGUUUUUUAAAUAAUAUUGUGCAUAGCUGUACACACUUGAAUGAACCCAAAUAGUUUGAUAUUAGUUCAAUGAUAGCGUUAUUAAUAAAUCGCAUCGAGUGCGCGCGAGACUUGCACUGUAAACGUAUAUGUAAACAAUUUUAUUAUAACGUUAUGAUGUAAUAUCAGGUACCUACGAACUGCAGCUUCGAGUAAGUCGGGAAAUAUGCAUUACGUCCGAUUUAUGGCCAUUUUAACGUAAUAAAAUUAUAUUCUCAAUGAAUAAUUUUUUAUCAAUAUUUUUAUGUGUAGCUUUAGGUUAUACCUAGGUACAUAACUCAUAAAUUGUAAUAAUAAUAUGUACAAUAAAUAUUAUCAUACAUGUAUGUUGUGUAAAUGAUAAGAAAUUCCAUCCGCUUUUUUUUUAGAUAUUAUUGUUUGUAAAUUCUUUAUAUUGUGUGAGCCAUUAUAAUUAUUAUAUUCAUAUUUAAAUUUAAAUAUGGGUAUACGUGUUGUUUUAAAUGGCUUUACGAAGUAAAUGUAGUACCUAUAUGGCAUUAUGUAUUGAUGAACUUCUUAUACGUGCUGUUGAUUUUAAAUAUAAAAAAUAAAUAUUGAGAUAUAUUAUUGGA